rnacentral:rRNA from 1 species
UCUCUUACGGGGAGCAGCAGUGGGGAAUAUUGCACAAUGGGGGAAACCCUGAUGCAGCGACGCCGCGUGAGCGAUGAAGUAUUUCGGUAUGUAAAGCUCUAUCAGCAGGGAAGAAAAUGACGGUACCUGACUAAGAAGCCCCGGCUAAAUACGUGCCAGCAGCCGCGGUAAUACGUAUGGUGCAAGCGUUAUCCGGAUUUACUGGGUGUAAAGGGAGCGUAGACGGAGUGGCAAGUCUGAUGUGAAAACCCGGGGCUCAACCCCGGGACUGCAUUGGAAACUGUGCAUCUAGAGUGUCGGAGAGGUAAGCGGAAUUCCUAGUGUAGCGGUGAAAUGCGUAGAUAUUAGGAGGAACACCAGUGGCGAAGGCGGCUUACUGGACGAUAACUGACGCUGAGGCUCGAAAGCGUGGGGAGCAAACAGGAUUAGAUACCCUGGUAGUCCACGCCGUAAACGAUGACUACUAGGUGUCGGGGAGCACAGCUCUUCGGUGCCGCAGCAAACGCAAUAAGUAUUCCACCUGGGGAGUACGUUCGCAAGAAUGAAACUCACAGAAUUUGACGGAG